UUCAAAGGAACCUGUCGGUGCCAAAUGAGACCUGACGCAGCAUCCAAAGUAACCGCAUCCUGUGACGUCAAAAACUGAUAUGCACCACGAACAGUAUAGACAUCGUCCAAAUCAGACUGCCACUGCCACCUAUCUAAAACAUGAUCCUACAAGGAGACAGUAAGAAGUAAAGACUGACACUCACCCAACAUCUCCUCCUCCCAAGCCCACAACCGAC
rnacentral:lncRNA from 1 species